AGUGGCGGAAGGGUUAGUAAUACAUGAAUAACCUGCCUUUUACCUGGGGAUAACGGCUGGAAACGGCCGCUAAUACCGAAUGAAGUGUUUGAGGGGAAACCUUCGAACAUUAAAGUAGGGGACCGUGAAAACGGCCUGGCGGUAGAAGAGGGGUUCAUGGGAUAUCAGCUAGUUGGUGAGGUAAUGGCUCACCAAGGCUAAGACGUCUAGGCGGAUUGAGAGAUUGACCGCCAACAUUGGGACUGAGAUACUGCCCAGACUCCUACGGGAGGCUGCAGUCGAGAAUCUUUCGCAAUGAGCGAAAGCUUGACGAAGCGACGCUGCGUGAGCGAUGAAGGCCUUCGGGUCGUAAAGCUCUUUCGCGUGGGAACAAGAGAGAUCUAUGAACAAUAGGUUGAUUUGAGGGUACCACGAUAAGAAGCACCGGCUAACUCCGUGCCAGCAGCUGCGGUAAUACGGAGAGUGCAAGCAUUAAUCGGAAUUACUGGGCGUAAAGGGCGCGUAGGCGGAUAUGUAAGUCAGAUGUGAAAUUCCGAAACUCAAUUUCGGAGCUGCAUUUGAAACUGCAAGUCUAGAGGAUUGACGGAGAAAACGGAAUUCCACGUGUAGCGGUGAAAUGCGUAGAUAUGUGGAAGAACACCUGUGGCGAAAGCGGUUUUCUAGUUUAUACCUGACGCUGAGGCGCGAGAGCAAGGGGAGCAAACAGGAUUAGAUACCCUGGUAGUCCUUGCCGUAAACGAUGCAUACUUGAUGUAGACGGGCUCAACCCUGUUUGUGUCGAAGCUAACGCGAUAAGUAUGCCGCCUGGGGAGUACGCUCGCAAGAGUGAAACUCAAAAGAAUUGACGGGGGCCCGCACAAGCAGUGGAGCAUGUGGUUUAAUUCGAUGCAACGCGAAGAACCUUACCCAGGCUCGAAAUGCAGAUGACGUUAACAGAAAUGUUAACUUUCGUAAGAACAUUUGUAUAGGUGCUGCAUGGCUGUCGUCAGCUCGUGCCGUGAGGUGUUGGGUUAAGUCCCGCAACGAGCGCAACCCUUAUCAUUAGUUGCCAACACGCGAGGUGGGGACU
rnacentral:rRNA from 1 species